rnacentral:rRNA from 1 species
GAUGAACGCUAGCGGCAGGCUUAACACAUGCAAGUCGAGGGGCAGCGCGGGAUAGCAAUAUCCUGGCGGCGACCGGCGGAAGGGUGCGUAACGCGUGAGCGACAUGCCCGUUGCCCGGGGACAACCGGUGGAAACGCCGACUAAUCCCCGAUGGGAUACGAUGCUUCAUGGCAUUGUAUUGAAAGUUACGGCGGCGACGGAUUGGCUCGCGUCCGAUUAGCUGGUUGGCGGGGUAACGGCCCACCAAGGCUGCGAUCGGUAGGGGUUCUGAGAGGAAGGCCCCCCACAAUGGGACUGAGACACGGCCCAUACUCCUACGGGAGGCAGCAGUGAGGAAUAUUGGUGAAUGGGCGGAAGCCUGAACCAGCCAUGCCGCGUGCGGGAAGGAGGCCCUAUGGGCUGUGAACCGCUUUUGCCUGGGGGCAAUAAGGGCGUCGCGCACGUCCGAUGAGAGUACCAGGCGAAUAAGCAUCGGCUAACUCCGUG